rnacentral:rRNA from 1 species
UACAGAGGUCUCAAGCGUUGUUCGGAAUCACUGGGCGUAAAGCGUGCGUAGGCUGUUUCGUAAGUCGUGUGUGAAAGGCGCGGGCUCAACCCGCGGACGGCACAUGAUACUGCGAGACUAGAGUAAUGGAGGGGGAACCGGAAUUCUCGGUGUAGCAGUGAAAUGCGUAGAUAUCGAGAGGAACACUCGUGGCGAAGGCAGCUCUCUGGGCCGUCACUGACGCUGAGGCGCGAAAGCUGGGGGAGCGAACAGG